UAAAGUUCCUACUUUCUUCCACCACCCCCGGUGUCAGAGAUUGGCUUGCUGCGCAACGGGAACCUGGGCAGGAGGAGAUAAGCCAAUAUAUCUGCCUGUUGAGCCUACAGUUAAAAAUAAUUAUAAAGAACAUGGUGAUGCUUCAGAAACUAUCAGUGAUGGGGCCAUUGAUCAGAAUCUGCUGGCAAGUCUCCUUUGGGAAUUUCUCUGAGAUAGAAGGUGGUGAAGCCUUUUCCAAUCCGGUCUCUCUCCCCAUCAUCCGUAUGUGGAUUAACUGCCUCCAGCCAGCUUGUGGAGCCUUCUGAAGCGAAUGAGGCGCUAUGUGAUUCUGAGAGUUGCAGAGCACCUAAGUACGUGCCCACCACCCCCACCUCUUGUUAUCUGAGUAGCUGACUACCCUUGAUGUGUUAAGAUUUUAUCUGCGGCUGGUACUUUAAAAGUUCUUAGAUGAUCAGUUUAUAGAACUGUAUGUGGCAGGGAACAACAUUCUGUCUUACAACAUUAUUCGAGUUGUAACACAAGCCUCCUUGACCUAAUUCAUGAGAAAACAUGAUACCAUUUUGAUCUGAAAACUGCUAUAGAAAGUAAUUGUUCUCUGAAACGCAUCUCAGGCAAUGCGGAUACCAACUUAAUUUUUCUCCUUCACUGCUGUUAUUUAUGAGGCAGAGGCUAGGAGAAGAGAGAUGUUUUUAGAUGAAAGGUGAAAUAUUCUAUUGUAGAGUAUGUUUUAUGAGGAAGAGAAAGAGAUAUAUAAUUUCUGACUCUGGGUUUGCAUAGGCUCCAGACAUCUUUUAAGUUAGCAUCUCAAAACAUUAUUUAAGGCUCUGUUCUCUGGGAUCUUGAAGUCCUAGUUUAUUUUUUGAUAUAAAGUCAUAUCAGUCACAGGGUAAACUCUCUCCUAACAAUCAGCAAGCCAAGGGCAUUCCCCCCACAUCUUCAAGGUUAAAGGGUUCCAUUUACUCCGAAUGUAUUUAAUGAGCAUAUCUUAUCAUAAAAUAUGCUUUUAAUGAUAUUUGGCUUAUAACGUGUUAUUUCCCACUAAUUUCUUUAAUGACAGUUCCCUUCUCUGGUGUGGUUUGGAUUCUAGAGUAAGGACCACAAGUAGAAUGAGGAUUCAAGAAUAAGUCUGAGGCCUUACAGGAGAGAAGCCUUUUCAGGAAAUUCUCCCAGUAAACCUGGUUCCAGCACUAAAUGGUCAUGGACACUGUGCUCAAACCCUACCCCAAACCCCAACGUUGCACAGCUGAGGUGAUUGCCACAGGGAUGGCUCAUAAGUGGGGUUGUUCAGGCAUUUGAGAAGUUCUCUGGCUGAGGAAGGACCCUUUCUCACUGUCUUUCUUCCUAAAUGAGGCGAGUCCUGAACUGACCUUGAAAGGAGCUGAGGGUAUGGGUUGGCACAUGCUGAGAAGGAUGUGUGAUGGAACACAAAGGCAGGAGAUGGGCCAGAGAGACUUAUAAACAGGCUGGUGAGCACAGAAUGGAGAGAAGCAGGGCCUGCAGGAAGGGAAAGGGGGGAAUUGGGAGUGACAGGAAUGUCCAAAGAGGGCUUUAAGUUGCAAAGCCACAUGUUCUUCUGGAACCCCUCUGAGAGAUAUCAGAUGUGGGACAUGGUCUCGUGAUCCCAGGGGUGAUCCUAUAAGGGACGCUGCCGGACUCCAUUCUCAAGACUGUACCUUAAAGAUACAGGCAUGGCCAUAAAGUCUCCUCUAACCAGCUAUACUCAGACCCCAAACCAAAAGUUGACAUGACCCAAAGCAGGAAGAAGCCAAUGGCCCUUUCAAUAUCUAGAGUGCCAACCUCAGGAACAGUUGGGGCUGCCUGAGACCAUGACUGUGAAAGUUUUCUUCCCUCGAGGCCAAGCUUUUCCAACUCGGCAUUAUUGACAUUUUGGGCUGGGUGAUUCUUUGCUGGGGAGGAGGUUGUCCUGUGUGGGGGCGGAUGUUUAGCAGCAUUUCUGGCCUCUGCCUACUAGAUACCACUAAACAGCACCCUCCUUCUCAGUCAUGACAACCAAAAAUAUCUCCAGAUAGUCCCAAAUGUCCCCUAAGGGGCAAAAGUACCCCCAGUUGAGAACCACUGCUGCAGGCCAGCAUGGACACAAAAAUCACACAGCCCCAAGCCUUUGUUUCACUAGCAGCAUUCUAGAAUGUGAUCCUGGUACCUUGAGCUAUUCUCCUACAUCUCAAUCUCUUAGUGUCCCUGAACAACACACCUUAAGCCUGAACGAUGGUCCUCAUUCAGCAUGAGACUAUUAUUGCCUGCUGAGUCCAUGACUUGGACUCCCAUUUAUAGGAUUAUUUUUUUCUGCAGAUGGAAAACUCUGUGAGAACGAUGCACGGAGCAGGAAGCAGGAAGGUGUGAGGCAUUUGAAAAGAGUUGAUAAUAGGGAAUUCCAACAGACCUGAUUUUGAAUUCUCUUUUUGCCAUGUAAUAGCUGUGUGAACUUGAACAAUUUACUCUCUUUAGAUCUGUUUUCUUAUUGGUAAAUCAUGAUUAAAAACAAAAAUCUCUCAUCCCAUUUUGAUGAGGCAUUUUGAGGAGAGUUAAUGUGUGACCCAACUUCUUUUCAACAAUAUGUUCAAGGGGCAUGAUGCAAAGAAUAUAAGCCCAGGCUGUGCUUCUUAGGAGCACCAGGAAACCGAGUGUCUAUGCCAAGUGAACAGAGGAGGUAUUGUGCACCUUGGGUCAGAGACAGUGGGAUUUGACUACUCCUUGAGCCUUUGGUUAAGCAUGGGAGAGUAGAGAAAGGCACUCCAGGUGCUGGGAAGGACAGUCUCAGGUGUCUGGGAAGGCAGGGAUGGUGAGCAGCUCUAUCUGGCUGAGCCAGAGGAAAAGCAGCACAAGAAGUCUGGGUUCUGCUUUGUCAGGGCUGGCCUCCGUAGUUCAGGGUCCACGGUGAGUGAGUCUGCCUGGGGGAGUGAGACAUAGUGAGAAUAAAAGCUCAGGCCCAGAGAAGACCCAGAAGCUGCAGGGCCAGAUAGAGGCAUGAUGACAAUGAGAUGCCUAUGCAUAUACAGCCACUGUUCAAAUUACAGAGGUUUAAAAACUCAGUUUUACCUGAUGACUAAAUAUUAAUAAGGUACCAGCAGUUUGAACUGCUAAAACAUUACUGAAUUUUUAAACUGGUUUGCCCUUUUCUCAUUUCAUCUUAGCCAAUAUUUUCUUCUGUGAUAUUCAUUUUCUUUUUAAUCGCAAUAAAGCCUUAUUGAGAAUAUACCAUCUUUAGACCUUUUCUUUUUAUAGCAUAGAAAAUGCAAUCCCAUUUCUUUCAUAAUAUAUUUUUAAAGAGUAAUAAUGAAUCUCUUGGAAUUUUUAACUGGCUAUUUAAUGGUAGACUUACCUUGAGCUCUAAACUCUUCUAGACAAUCAAUAAUUGUUCUAUAAAAAUGCAGGAAUAUUCAUUAUUGCUGAUACUAACUCUCUCAUCCUCCCAGCUGCGUGAUUCAAUUUGUUUAAAGCAUUACUCGUCUUACACAUGAGGCUGGGAAUAAAUAGGAUGAGAAAGUGCUAAAUUAAUGAUCACCUCAUUUCAAGACAGUCAGACUCUUCUAUUUUCCUGAAUGUGUUUAUAAGAUUGGAUAAGAGCUCCGAUUUCUGUGUGACUGGUAGGAGAUAAGACAUGAGGAGAGAGAAUUGGAUGCUCACAGGAAAGCUUGCCCUGUAGGGUCAGGAGAGGCUGUGAGAGUGUGUGAUGUGUGUGUGUGUGUGUGUGUGUGUGUGUGUGUGUGUGUAUGGACCUAUGGAGGAAGAGAAGGGGCCGGGGAUAAGGGGCCAGAUUUGGAUCCAAAGGCAAGUCAAGGAGCAAUCAGUGUUGUUGAUAGAGAAAGGGAAAGGUCUUUUCUCAGGUCCAAUAAAGAUCUAGGUAGUGUCUUGGUCGCUGGAAUCAACCCAUGGAGUCAGAUUUUCAAGUACCCAUUCAAGAAGUAUUCCGGUAUUUAUUAUGUAUCAGGCACUGUUCUGGUGCUGAGGAUAUGGUGGUGACCAAAACAGACAAGGUUCUGUCCUCUGGAAGCUUAUAUUCAAAUGGAGCACAGAUUUUAUACACCUACUAAAACAUAAAAAGAUAAUUCUAGAGGGUAGUGAGUGCAUGAAGGAAAUGAAAUAGCGUAAGAUGAUGAAGAGUGGAUGGGCCUCAGUUUCUCCAAGUGAGGAUCGGAGAAAAAUCCCCUCACGUUUCUGGCAGGGAGAAGGGAAAAGUAACAAUUUUGAAAUACAUCCAGAAUGCUCUGUUUUCCUUAACAAAAGUCUUCCCUCAAGGAAAACUAUUUUACCAAAGUCUAACCAAAGUGGGUUUUGCCACAGCCUAACCAACAUGGGGGAAGAGAAACAUGCAACACCAGCUUCUUCCAGCCUUCCUGUCUUACCUCAGUUGGGGGAAAUGAGAAGUGCUUGUGAAGGUCACAGCCAGAGGCACAGGCCAACUAAGAGACUGAGACCUCAUCACAGGAUUAUAGAAUGCUUCUCCUCCCCCUUAGCAUCACAUCAACAGGGCUCCUCAUUAUGACAGGGGAUUACAACCAGAAAGAGCUGCAAGCCUCAGACUCUAUUUAAGAAGAUAUCUCUAGAGAAACUCAAAGAUAACAGAGGAGACAAAAACAAGCACACUGCAGAAAAUUUUGGCAUCUGACACCACAGCUACAGCAAACAGUAAACACAGCCCCAUUCCUAUCCAGAUAAACAUGCAACCUCACACAAAAAUCUUAUCUACCACAGUUCCUUUUACCCAAUAACCAUAUCUGGCUUUCAACAAAAACUUACAAGGCCUGCGUGAUAUUGUGAUACAUGAGAAAUAUAUAUUUGGUUUCUGUUUCCAGUUCCUGGCUCAGAGAUCCUAAAACACAUGGAAUCUCUAGAGGGAUAAGAGUGUCUUUUCUAUGCUAAUGAGAUGACUGGUGACUGGGGGCUCCUACAUAGCUUCAGGAUGGGGGCUGCUCACCAGAAGGACCAAGUCAUGACUAGAGAGCUGGAAAUUUCAGCCCCCACUCCAACCUCUGGGGAGGGGAGGAGCUGGAGACUGAAUUAAUCACCAAUGGCCAAUGAUUGAAUUAAUCAUGUCUACAUAAUGAAGUCUUUAUAAGAAUCCUAAACAACAGGAUUCAGGGAGCUCCUGGUUGGUGACACAUCAAGGUGUUGCCAGGGAAGCAUGCCCAGAGAGGGCUUGGAAGUUCCACUCCGCUUCCCUCAUACCUUGCCCUUUGCAUCUCCUCCAUUUGGCAGUUCCUUUAUAAUAAACCAGUCAGUGUAAGUAAAGUGCUUUCCUGACUUCUGUGAGACAUUCUAGCAAAUUAUGGAAUCUGAGGAGGGGCUUAUGGCAACCCCUGAUUUAUAGCCAGUCCAUCAGAAGUACAGGAGACUUGGAAUUGGCAUCUGGAGUUGGGGACCCAUCUUGUGGGAAUGAGCCCUUAGCCUGUGGAGUCUGUACUAACUCUAGGACACCCAAUUAGUGUCUGGAAAGUUGGAAAAUUGGUUGAUAUAGGAAAAAAAAACCCCACACACAUUGGUAUCAGAAGUAUUAUGAGAGAAAACAGCUCAUAGCAUGAUAAAAUGCAGUGGGGCUCCAGUAAAUGGUGGCCCUGGAGGGUUUCUCUAAGAAGAUGACCCUAAGCUGAGGCCCAAAAGAUGAGAUAGCCAUUCACAAGCAGAGGAAGAGUGAACCAGACACUCACAAGCAAAGGUAACAUGCUGAGGUGGGACUGAGCUUUGCUCUAUCAGGAAGCAGAAAGGGUUGUUGGUAGGGAGUGAGCAAAGUGGAAAUUGGCAUGAGGUGAGGUCAGAGAGGUGGGCAGGGCCAUGCUGCAUAGGACAUGGUAGACUGUGGUUAGAACUUAGGAUUUUGUUUGACUUUAAUCCAAGUACCACCAAAUCUUCCUUUGCCUGAAUGAAUCAAUUUGGCUGCUCAGGAAAGACAUGGUGUAGGUCCCUACAACGAAGUAACCACUGCCCCAGCAGGACCAACUCUGUCCUCUUUCCCUCUCCCAUUCCACAACAGGCCAGCUCCUUUAGGACAAAUACACUCUCCCUGUGGGAAGGGCUGCCACAUAAAACCCUGAUCAGUCCUAUUACAGGCCACCAUUGGCAGCAAACCUCCACCUGCCCAACUCCCCCGGCAGCCUGCUAAACCUUUAGUCUCCUGUGUCUCUGCCCAUGGCUUGAUGACCAAGCACUUGCCUGUUCUGCCCUGGGCACAGCUUGGCUCCCAGUGUAGGGGUCCCUGACCAUGGUCUUCCUCUUGCCAACCCAAGAGAGGCCCAGCUUGGCCCCUAAGUCCUCAUUAUUUUGUUUUGACCCAUUUCUUAAUAAGGAAGAUCUGGAUCUACAGUGGAGGGUUGGUCCUUUCUGGGCUUUGUCCUUUGCCCCAAACUGGCUUCUGUGGCCACCUGGGACAGGGAGGAAGAACUGUGUCUCCAGUCCUGCACCACCCAGACUGACCUUCAACCAGCCGCACAUGCUGCCCCGUUAGUGCCCAAGGCUGACCUGGCUCUUCCUUUCACACUCAAACCUUGACUCUCCUGCAGCCAGGUAACACCCCUGGAGUGGACCCUCAGGUACAGCUGUGACAGAUGGCAGGGAGACAAAUAGAUAAACAGAUCAAAUAAAAUAAUCAUCAGGCUGCUGUCAUUUCUGGAUUCUUUAUUUUAUAGAUUGAUUUCCAUAGAAUAGGCCUACUCUUUAAUAUAGUGCAUUUAUCUGACUAUCCCAGCUGACAGAGAUAAUCAUGGGCUCCAUAAACCAAGAGGAGGCACAUAUAUGCUCAUAAGUGUAGCAGAUAUUUAGCUAUUUGUUCUGGUUUACGUUUAUUCUUUAUGAGCUAUCAUUCCCUUUUGUGAUAAGUUUAAGAUCACUCUCAAAUAUUUAUCAGGGUCUCCCUCA